UACGUAGGGUGCGAGCGUUGUCCGGAAUUACUGGGCGUAAAGAGUUCGUAGGCGGUUUGUCGCGUCGUUCGUGAAAACUUGGGGCUUAACUCCAAGCGUGCGGUCGAUACGGGCAGGCUGGAGUUCGGUAGGGGAGACUGGAAUUCCUGGUGUAGCGGUGAAAUGCGCAGAUAUCAGGAGGAACACCGGUGGCGAAGGCGGGUCUCUGGGCCGAUACUGACGCUGAGGAGCGAAAGCGUGGGGAGCGAACAGG
rnacentral:rRNA from 1 species